rnacentral:rRNA from 1 species
ACGCUGGCGGCGUGCCUAAUACAUGCAAGUAGAACGCUGAGGUUUGGUGUUUACACUAGACUGAUGAGUUGCGAACGGGUGAGUAACGCGUAGGUAACCUGCCUCAUAGCGGGGGAUAACUAUUGGAAACGAUAGCUAAUACCGCAUAAGAGUAAUUAACACAUGUUGGUUAUUUGAAAGGAGCAAUUGCUUCACUGUGAGAUGGACCUGCGUUGUAUUAGCUAGUUGGUGAGGUAAAGGCUCACCAAGGCGACGAUACAUAGCCGACCUGAGAGGGUGAUCGGCCACACUGGGACUGAGACACGGCCCAGACUCCUACGGGAGGCAGCAGUAGGGAAUCUUCGGCAAUGGACGGAAGUCUGACCGAGCAACGCCGCGUGAGUGAAGAAGGUUUUCGGAUCGUAAAGCUCUGUUGUUAGAGAAGAACGUUGGUAGGAGUGGAAAAUCUACCAAGUGACGGUAACUAACCAGAAAGGGACGGCUAACUACGUGCCAGCAGCCGCGGUAAUACGUAGGUCCCGAGCGUUGUCCGGAUUUAUUGGGCGUAAAGCGAGCGCAGGCGGUUCUUUAAGUCUGAAGUUAAAGGCAGUGGCUUAACCAUUGUACGCUUUGGAAACUGGAGGACUUGAGUGCAGAAGGGGAGAGUGGAAUUCCAUGUGUAGCGGUGAAAUGCGUAGAUAUAUGGAGGAACACCGGUGGCGAAAGCGGCUCUCUGGUCUGUAACUGACGCUGAGGCUCGAAAGCGUG